GAUGAAGAACGUAGCGAAAUGCGAUAAGUAAUGUGAAUUGCAGAAUUCAGUGAAUCAUCGAAUCUUUGAACGCACAUUGCGCCCGCCAGCAUUCUGGCGGGCAUGCCUGUUCGAGCGUCAUUUCAACCCUCGACUUCCCUUUGGGGAAGUCGGCGUUGGGGACCGGCCGUAUACCGCCGGCCCCGAAAUGAAGUGGCGGCCCGUCCGCGGCGACCUCUGCGUAGUAAUCCAACUCGCACCGGAACCCCGACGUGGCCACGCCGUAAAACCCCCGACUUCUGAACGUUGACCUCGGAUCAGGUAGGAAUACCCGCUGAACUUUAGCAUAUCAAUAAGCGGAGGA
rnacentral:misc_RNA from 1 species